rnacentral:rRNA from 1 species
AUGGAGAGGUUCCCCGGCAAGGUCGCCGCCGCCGUGUUCGCAGCCGCCGGGAUGCCGUGCGUUGGCAAGCACAUGGGCGUCACCACCGAGGAGUUCAUGCGAAGGACAUCAUCGGAAGGACUCAUGGACUGCAAGAUGCUGCCAAUCAAUAACAACCACGGUGCAGGGGUUGCAAUGAUAAUGGGCCCAAACUUCUUAGCACGCAAGAACUACCAGCAAAGUUCACCUGAGGAUUUGGCCCUGGCAAAAAUGUUGGUGAGACCGGGAAACCUGUUCAUGGAGGAUCCGGUGAUGAAGGAUGCAAGCCUGCUCACCGAUACCAACUACGGGUCGGUGAAGAAGGUAUAUGUGGUAGCAAAGGCUGAUGGCUCCAGCACCAAGGAGAUGCAGCGUUGGAUGGUGUUGUUGAGCCCCGGCACGGAGGCCGAGGAGAUCGCGGGAGCUGACCACGCCAUCAUGAGCUCGAGGCCUAGGGAGCUCUGUGAUGCUCUGGUCAAGAUCGCCGACAGCUUAAAUACUUGCUAA